CAGUCGCCACGGUAAAACGAAGGGGGCUAGCGUUGCUCGGAAUGACUGGGCGUAAAGGGCGCGUAGGCGGCGAUCAAAGUCAGGCGUGAAAUUCCUGGGCUCAACCUGGGGGCUGCGCUUGAUACUUGGUUGCUUGAGUGGGGAAGAGGGUCGUGGAAUUCCCAGUGUAGAGGUGAAAUGCGUAGAUAUGCGGAGGAACACCGAUGGCGAAGGCAGCCCCCUGGGCCAAUACUGACGCUCAUGCACGAAAGCGUGGGGAGCAAACAGGAUUAGAUACCCCUGUAGUCCCUGUCUCUUAUAC
rnacentral:rRNA from 1 species